UACGUAGGGGGCAAGCGUUGUCCGGAUUUAUUGGGCGUAAAGAGCUCGUAGGUGGUUCGGUAAGUCGGGUGUUAAACCCCCAGCUCAACCUGGGGACCGCCACUCGAUACUGCUGUGACUAGAGUCCGGUAGGGGAGCGUGGAAUUCCUGGUGUAGCGGUGAAAUGCGUAGAUAUCGUGAGGAACACCAGAGGCGAAGGCGGCUACCUGGACAAUUGCUGACGCUCGAGGCACGAAAGCGUGGGGAGCAAA
rnacentral:rRNA from 1 species